rnacentral:rRNA from 1 species
UACAGAGACUGCAAGCGUUAUUCUGAUUCCCUGGGCGUAAAGGGUGCGCAGGCGGCCGUGUGUGUGAGGCGUGAAAGCCCGGGGCUUAACCCCGGAAUUGCACCUCAAACUACAUGGCUAGAGCAUUGGAGAGGGUAGCAGAAUUCAUGGUGUAGCAGUGAAAUGCGUAGAUAUCAUGAGGAAUACCAGAGGCGAAGGCGGCUACCUGGACAAUUGCUGACGCUCAGGCACGGAAGCGUGGGGAGCAAAAGGG